rnacentral:misc_RNA from 1 species
UUAAGUUCAGCGGGUAGUCCUACCUGAUUUGAGGUCACAUAAAAUGAUAAAUUCCGUCCGAGGACUGUUAGGAAGCUGAACUGCCUCACGUUCGAUAGCGUAGAUAGUUUAUCACACCAAUGAACAGGUCGGUCGUUCUGCUAAUGCAUUUCAGGGGAGCUGAACCUCUCAAAGAAGAGGCCAGCAAAGAGAACCCCCCA